rnacentral:rRNA from 1 species
UACGAAGGGGGCUAGCGUUGCUCGGAAUUACUGGGCGUAAAGCGCACGUAGGCGGCUCUUUAAGUCGGGGGUGAAAUCCUGGAGCUCAACUCCAGAACUGCCUUCGAUACUGUAGAGCUUGAGUUCGGGAGAGGUGAGUGGAACUGCGAGUGUAGAGGUGAAAUUCGUAGAUAUUCGCAAGAACACCAGUGGCGAAGGCGGCUCACUGGCCCGAUACUGACGCUGAGGUGCGAAAGCGUGCUGAGCAAACAGG